rnacentral:lncRNA from 1 species
CAGCUGCUCAGGAGGGUGAGGCAGGAAUAGGGUGAAUCAGGAAGAUGGCAAGUUCAAAGCCAGCCUCUGCAAAAAUGAGGAGAUAAGCAACUCAGUGAGACCCUGUCUCUAAAUAAAAUACAAAAUGGGGCUGGGGAUGGAGCCCAGUGGUGGAGCGCCCCUGAGUUGAAUCCCCAGUACCAAAAAACAAAUAAAAUUUAAAGGAGCAGGGCACACUGUCCCAGGCUUGUAAAUCCCAGUGGCUGGGGAGGCUGAGUCAGUCUCAGCAAUUUAGGGAGACUAUGAGACUGUCUCAAAAAUCAAAAAACAAUAAAACUGCGUGUGUGUGGUGUGUGUGUAGCUCAGCACCCUUGGGUUCAAUCUCAGGUACCAAAUAAAUAAAUUAGAAGGGCUGGGGAGUUAGCUCAGUGCCCCGGGGAUCAAUCCCCAGCACCACACACACAGUCACACACACAAACACACACUCAAUUACAAUACUGAAGGAUAUGCCCCCUUUUUACCCCAACCACAGGCUAAUAGGCAUUCACUAAAAUUAGAGUAAUACAUACAGGCAAGCUGAAGGAGACAGACUUACUACAUCUUCAGCGAAGUGCCAAGAGCAAACCAGAAGCUAAGCAGGGGUACAAAACCAAUCUACAGUAACCCCCCACUGCCAUCUGUGCUUUUGCUUUCCCUGGUAAUAGUUACCUGAGAAAUACUGGUCCAGAAAUAUGAAAUAAAAAUACCAGAAUAAGUAUUUAGAAAUAAAUGAAAGUUUGAAACUCUAAGAAUUAUCAAAAAAUGUGACAGACACAAAAUGAACACACAUUUUUGGAAAUCUUUUUGUUUUUGUUUAUUAGUAUGAGGGAUUGAACCCAGGGGGUUUUAAAGACUGAUCCAUAUCCCCAGCCUUUUUAAUUUUGAGACAGGUUUUCUCUAAAUUGGCGAGGGCCUCCCUAAAUUGCUGAGGUUAGAAUUCCAGGUUUGGGAUUACAGGUGCGCUCCAAGGCAUCAGACUGGAAAAAAUGGUUUCCACAGUCUUGUUCCACUCUGUGGGAGACCAACCUUGCACAUGACUGAGUCACACUCCUUGGCUGGGUGAUGAGGGGCUCAGUCACAGAAAUGUGGCAGAGCUUUCCCACCCUUCUUGGAAGGUGUUUCAGUGUCUCCUGUAUGGGUGUGUCUUGCUACAGCCCCAUGAGUGAAGCUAUGCUCACCUGUUCCUUUGUAAUAUAACCUGUUUAGGUUAUAUGGAAGUGCCUUGUGUCCCCUUCUCUUAUAGUGCCCUUAGGUGUGGCCUACCCAGGUGUCAGUCAACCUGCUGACAGUGGACAUCAUGAAGCCCCUGAAACCUGACCCCUUGGCCUGAUUUGAAUAGCUUCUCAAUAAAAGUGGUCAGCAGGUUCUCACUCUUCCUGUGUACACUGACCCUUAGAGCCAUCAUAGCCACCCCCAAAGAAAAAGGUAUUUGUGUCUCUUGUGUGGUUAUUUUGCACAGCCCAAUUAGCCCAGUUUUCCUGGAGUAACCCUUAAACCUUAUAGUCCGGAGAACAGAAACCUGGCACCAUUCAGUAAUGCCACAGAUUUUCAAUUUGUAAAAAAUGCAAUAUCUAUAAAGUACAGUAAUGCAAAGAGAAGACAUUGAGAAAAAAGAACCCUUGUGCACUGUGAGAAACUAAACUAAUAUAGCUAUUACGAAAAACAAUAUACAUGACUCAAAACACUGACCCAGCAAUCUAAAGGGUAUAUAUCCAAAGGAACUGGAAUCAGUAUGCCAAAGAAAAUCUGCAUUCUCACAUUCACUGCAGAGUUAUUCACAAUAACUAAGAUAUAGAUGUGAAGCAAGCCAGACAUAGAAUGACAAACACCACAUAAUCUCAAUUCUAUGUGGAAUCUAAAAAAGGUAAACUCAUGACCAUAUUGCACAAUAAGAAUAGUGAAACUUGGGGCUGGGUUGUGUUUGUGGUCCUGGGUUUGAUUCUCAGCACCAUGUAAAUAAAAUAAAGAUAUUGUGUACAACUAUAACUAAAAAAUAAAUAUUUUAAAAAAAGAAUAGUGGAACUGGGCUGGGGCUGUAGCUGAGUGGUAGAGUGCUUGAGGCGCUGGGGUUGGUCCUCAGCAUCCUAUAAAAAUCAUAAUAAUGAAAACAGAGGGGAGUGUUCUUGGGAGGGAGUAUUGAAUACUGUUAGGCCUUAAAAAAACAAAAUCCUGUCAUUUGUGAUAAUAGGGAUGGAGCUGUACCUCAAACUAUGUGAAGCAAGCCAGACAUAGAAUGACAAAUACCACAUAAUCUCAAUUCUAUAUGGAAUCUAAAAAAGGUAAACUCACAGAAACAGUAUAAAAUGGUAGUUGUCAGUGGGGUUAAGGUAUAUGGGGGUAGGGGUGUGUGUACACAUCUGUAAUCCCAACAGCUUGGGAGACUGAGGCAGGAGGAUCGUGAAUCCAGAGCCAGCCUCUGCAACUGUGAGGUGCUAAGUAACUUAGUGAGACCCUGUCUCUAAAAAAAAAAAAGUACAUGGAUACCAAAGAAGAGUUGGAUUGACCAUUCUGCACAAUAAGAAUAGUGGAACUAGGGCUGGGGUUGUAGCUGAGUGGUAGAGCGCUUGCCUCACAUGCGUGAGGUGCUGGGGUUUGUUCUCAGCACCACAUAAAAAUAAACAAAUAAAAAUAAACAUAUAUAUAUAUAUAUAUAUGUAAAGAAUAGUGGAAGUAAGGGGAGCUAAUUCCUUUAAAUAGAGUCUGUUGCUUUGCAUUCACUAAUCAUCAUUUUCAUUUGUUCUUUUAAGCAAUGUGUUCUUGGCACCACUGUGUAGAAAGUGAACUGGCAUUUUAGAUAUAAUCUAAAAAAAUGCUUUGAACUGGAUUUAAUUUUCCAUAAAGACAAUGUUCACAAUAUUCUUGAAGAAAUGGUGUUGGAGACUGACAUAUCAGACAAAAUAGUGAAAAAAUAUUAACUUCGAUUUUUUUCCUGUGUACAGGUCAUAUUUUUAGAUAAGUGUGGUUAGUACUGGGGAUUUGAACUGAGGGCCUUGCAUAUUCUAGAGAAGUGCUAUACCAUUCAGUUUCCAAAUGGGCCAUACUUUCUUAUGCCUUUAUGUGCCUUGCAAUUGUGUAUGUGUAUGAAAACUGUUCAUAUAAACUACAUAAUGUUUUAUCAUUAUAAUGCAAUUAUUCUGGAAAUAAAAAUAAAAUUCUCCCUCUCUCCA